UACCUACGGGAGGCAGCAGUGGGGAAUAUUGGGCAAUGGGCGCAAGCCUGACCCAGCAAUGCCGCGUGAAGGAAGAAGGCUUUCGGGUUGUAAACUUCUUUGACAGGGGAAGAGCAGAAGACGGUACCCUGAAAACAAGCCACGGCUAACUACGUGCCAGCAGCCGCGGUAAUACGUAGGUGGCAAGCGUUGUCCGGAUUUACUGGGUGUAAAGGGCGUGCAGCCGGGAAGACAAGUCAGAUGUGAAAUCCCGCGGCUCAACCGCGGAACUGCAUUUGAAACUGUUUUUCUUGAGUACCGGAGAG
rnacentral:rRNA from 1 species